GAUGAACGCUGGCGGCGUGCUUAACACAUGCAAGUCGAACGAUGAAGCUCAGCUUGCUGGGUGGAUUAGUGGCGAACGGGUGAGUAACACGUGAGUAACCUGCCCUUAACUCUGGGAUAAGCCUGGGAAACUAGGUCUAAUACCGGAUAGGAGCGCCUACCGCAUGGUGGGUGUUGGAAAGAUUUAUCGGUUUUGGAUGGACUCGCGGCCUAUCAGCUUGUUGGUGAGGUAGUGGCUCACCAAGGCGACGACGGGUAGCCGGCCUGAGAGGGUGACCGGCCACACUGGGACUGAGACACGGCCCAGACUCCUACGGGAGGCAGCAGUGGGGAAUAUUGCACAAUGGGCGAAAGCCUGAUGCAGCGACGCCGCGUGAGGGAUGACGGCCUUCGGGUUGUAAACCUCUUUCAGUAGGGAAGAAGCGAAAGUGACGGUACCUGCAGAAGAAGCACCGGCUAACUACGUG
rnacentral:rRNA from 1 species